AAAGGUAGCGAAGCGUUUUGUACUCCUAUGGCGCACUAUCGAAAGACGUUGUCUAGGAUUCAAAAGUGACUAUGCUGGCAUGAGUAACGAAAAUCACGGGCGCAAAACGUGAUCGCCGUAUGUUCAAGGGUUUCCUACGUUCUGUCAAACAGCGUGGAGUUAUCACCGGUCCCUAAGUCAUCGGAACCAUUUCCGGAACGAUGGAGGAAUGCAUGAUGGACGGCACAUUAAUUGAAAAUGCCUUAGCAUCUUCGAUUCGAGCGUGGCUUUUUGUUUUCAAAUGGAUAAAGCAAAGAAACGAAUGUGCCCAGGAAAAGCCAUGCAAGUAAAACCGUACCCUAAACCGACACAGGUGAACGAGUCGAGUAGACUCAGGCGAGAGACAACCACAUUGAAGGAACUCGGCAAACUAUUCCCGUACCUUAGGAACAAGGGAAACCGAUUUGGUGACACAAAAAUGGGGGUGACGACUUUUUACUAAAAAAUUAGGACUCUGCGAAAUGGCAACAUGCUGUAUAGGGUCUGACGUCUGCCCGGUGCUAGAAGUAUAAAAGGAGCGUUGAAAGAUGCAAAUGGAAAGCCUAGUAAACGGCGGUUGUAACUAUAACAAUCAUAAAGUAGC
rnacentral:rRNA from 1 species